rnacentral:rRNA from 1 species
UACGUAGGAGGCAAGCGUUGUCCGGAAUUACUGGGCGUAAAGCGUGCGUAGGCGGUUCUUUAAGUCUGCUGUGAAAUCCCCGGGCUCAACCUGGGAAUGGCAGUGGAUACUGGAGAGCUAGAGUGUGAUAGAGGAUGGUGGAAUUCCCGGUGUAGCGGUGAAAUGCGUAGAGAUCGGGAGGAACAUCAGUGGCGAAGGCGGCCAUCUGGAUCAACACUGACGCUGAGGCACGAAAGCGUGGGGAGCAAACAGG